rnacentral:rRNA from 1 species
UACGAAGGGGGGCUAGCGUUGUUCGGAAUUACUGGGCGUAAAGGGCGCGUAGGCGGUACUUCAAGUCAGGCGUGAAAGCCCCGGGCUCAACCUGGGAACCGCGCUUGAGACUGGAGAACUAGAGUUCGGGAGAGGAUGGUGGAAUUCCCAGUGUAGAGGUGAAAUUCGUAGAUAUUGGGAAGAACACCGAUGGCGAAGGCAGCCAUCUGGGACCGACACUGACGCUGAGGCGCGAAAAGCGUGGGGAGCAAACAGG